GAAAAGAGAGAUAUGCUUCAACAUACCUCUCUGAUGUAGAGCCGUUUAAGACGGUGACCUUUUUAGUUACAAAAAAUAACCGUACUCAGUCAAAGUUGACGGUUAUUUUUUAUUGUCAUUUUUAAGCUUUAAAAGAUUUUCCUGUUCCCUAAUUGUUAAGAAUAGAGAAGAAAAGCUCAAAAUGUUAGUUCUGAUUACUAACAUUUUGAGUUUUUUUCA
rnacentral:misc_RNA from 1 species